GAUGCGGCCAAUCUUCAUGCCCGCGCGGGCCAGGGCACGCAGGGCGGACUGGGCACCGGGGCCGGGGGUCUUGGUCCGGUUGCCGCCGGUGGCGCGCAGCUUGAUGUGCAGGGCAGUGAUGCCCAGCUCCUGCACGCAGCAGAAUAAAAAAAUGUACCCAGCAUGAUUAGCCCAAAGCUCAGCAUUAUCACAAAGCGGGCGCUCCCGAGCGCUCCAUCACUGUCAAUCCUCCCUGUCUCUGGAGGGCUCCUCUACGUCCGCUGAUAGCUCCGGAUAAAAGUGCGCUGGAGUAUUCUGCAACCUGCAGCAUCGCCUGCGCCACUUCUCCGCUGGGCCACUGCCGCCCUGCUUGCCCGGCCGCCAAGCUCCUGUGCCGGCCUGCCCGUCCGCUGCCUCGCCAGACUGCUGCUGCAUCUUAAAGCUUCUGCCAAAACCUCCAGGAGCAUCCCGGGUCAAGAAGCGCCCUGCCGCCGCACGCAGUCGCCUGCCUCCUGCGCAGACAUUACAAGGCUGCCCGCAAAGCUUCCAACCCUCAAUUUGCCCAUUUACCUUGCACUUCUGGGCCACGUCCUGCGCGGCAAGCAUGGCCGCGUAGGGCGACGACUCGUCGCGGUCGGCCUUGACCUUCAUGCCGCCGGUGACGCGCGAAAUAGUUUCCCGGCCCGACAGGUCGGUCACAUGCACGAACGUGUCGUUGAAGCUGGCGAAGAUGUGAGCAACGCCGAAGACGUGCUCGCCCUCGCGGACGGUGGGGCCCAGGCUCACCACCUCCUUGGGGGCCUCAUCACCCUUGGCGGCCUUCUUGGGGGCCAUGGCUGCUGCUGUUUUGAGAGGAAGAGGGCGGGCAAGGUGCGCGCUCUCGGACUUGGCGCUCGCCGAGCUGCAUGAGCGCCGUACUGGCUCUUAAGUGGUUCUCGCUCCCUGCUGCUUCUGAAGCACCCGCGAAAAUUGCUCUGACUUUGACAUUAGUGUUCAAUGGCAUGAAAAUUUUACAAUGACACCAAAUAUGACCAUACGCUUGGGUUGACCGGCCAUCCGUUGACGAAGCCGGGCCGCAGCGCCUGUCGCAUACACGAUGGGACAAGGACGCAGCCGGCACGUAUAUGCUUUCCAGCCGCUCCCAUGGCCCGAAUCGCUGCACGCCUUUCGACUCAUCGACCAGGUGCGAACGCCACGCAUGUCCCACAACCUCCCUGCAUCACUAGCAGUCACGACCGUCUCAUGGGGCCUCAUCAUGUCCAAAUAAUCGCUAUGGCUCUAGGUCGGGCAUGAUACAGGUCACCUUGCCCGUUCGCCCGUAUGCCCCCGCGCGACGGCACGGCUUUCCUGCACCCAGCCUUGUCCUCGUCCUCCUCAACCCGAGCCCAGCCAUUCUCACUAGACCCUAUCACGUGCAGAUAUGUGGCAUCGCAACUACUUAUGCCACAACACACCUGGAGGUGCACGCGGUGCGCGUGCUGGACAAGGUUGGAGAGCUGCAGGUGCGAAGAACCGCGCAGCAACCGCCCCCCAUUGCGAAACCGGCGGCCAGUCAGCCCCUCUCAUCUUCCUCCUUCAUUGCAAGUCAGCGAUCCUUCCCACGUCGCGCCUUCCAGGGUGGUCCUACAAAGCCCCUCUCGCCCUCCAUUUCCAGUCCCCACAAACCCCUUCAUGCCCACCCCCGAACCACACCUUCCCCUGCACAGCGCCUGCCGUUCCAGUGGGAGGUGUUUGAGCCCGACUUCGAGCGCCUGCGCGGCAGCCACCUCAUGAAGCUGGCCACGGAGCUGCACAGCGCACUGGACAAACUGGAGGGGUGAGGGUGUGGAGGCAGGGGGUGGUGGAGGUGGCGUGGGGGGUUGGCGGGGUGAAUUGUGAAGGGGUGGAGCGGAAGGUGGAGCGGGGGGUGUAGAGGAAGGGGUGGAUGGCGGUGGAGGCACGGUCGGUGGCGGGAAGUGGUAGGGGUGGAGGUAUCAGGUGGUGGGGCUGGCAGGAGAUUAACCCAGGAGUGGGUGGCGACAGGGGUUUGUGUGGGGUGUGGGCGUGGGCAGGGCGUGGGAUGGGGCUUCAUGUGGUUGAGGUGUGCGCAAGCGGAAUGCCGUGCGGUGCGACGCGGGCUGGGGGCGUGGGGCGGAGCGGUGCACUUGGACACAGAGAAGCUGGGGGCAAGUGGAUGAGUGGCGAUGGGCGGCAGGAGGGAUGAGGUGCCGCGCUUCAGAGGGUGUGGGCAUAGGUGGCCCUGCGUCGGGACUGCAUGGUCCCAGCUUGGACACAUACCGCACGGCCCGGCGCCGCACGACUCGCAGCUCCCAACCCGACCAGCCCCACGUCCCGCCCGCCCGUCCGCCCUACAUGCACCCAUCGCCGCUGCUGUGACCGCUUCACCUCGCCCCACCUCCCCCCUGCCCUGGUUUGGGCUGGUAUCUACAACCCCCACCCCACCCCACCCCUGCCGUACACAGGUGCAAGUACGACAUUGGCGUGCUGGCGGAGAAGGGGCUCAUGUUCAAGUGAGGCGGGCAGGGAGGCAUACGCCCGAGCCAAACGAAACAGGCCUCAAUUGUCAAGGGGGAAGGAGGCAAGGAAUACAGGGCGGAGGAGGGAGCGGGGGAAAGAGGAGAGGAGGAGCCGAGGGCGGGAGGCGGGCGCAUGUUCGGGUGGAAGGGAGGGAACUGUGUGCAAGAAACGGCGGGGCUGCGGGGGCUGCGGGAGCUGUGCGGCGUGGCAGGCGGCACAGACAAGCUGUUGUAUGCUGGGUCAGUGAGUUGAGAAGUUGAGGGCACGGCAGCUCCACACCUGCAGCGCCAACCAAAACUUGCAUGCGCCCAAUCACGCGCCUGCACACACACACACACAUGCCUUUGCGCUUAUGCUUCUUUGUGCUCUUCAACACACACAGGUCAUUGCGCAAGGCCGCUGACAAGGUGCUCCUGAUCCUGGCGGAGGUGGAGCAGGUGCGGCUGUGGGGGCUGUGUGGGGCUGUCACCACCGUGUACCGGGGGUCUACCUGCCGGUUGGCCGUCGUGACAUCCCGCAUUACCGUGAAGUGAAGUGUUGGGCGUAUGUGGCUGCGAGCCUAACUUGGGGUUGCGAGCCUAAAGCGGGAUGCGCUUCACCAGACCGGCACCUCUCGCACCACUAACUGCACGGCUGCACCUCGCACGUUCCCUCGCGGACACGGCUUUAAAUCAACUUAACUGCCGCUCCCACCUCCCGCUCAGAUCCACCGCACCUUCCACUACACAUUUGAGCUGGCGCUGUACGAGAGCGUGCGGGUACGUGAGCAUGCGUUCUUGCGUGGGGGGGGGGGGGGCUGUAAGUACCAGCCCAAACAAAACCAAACCAAGCCAAAUUAGCGGAGCACAGGCAGAGGCGAGGGGGCAAGGAGGCUGCUGGUUUGCCGUUGAUUCGCUGUUGGGAUGGAGGGCUACUUCGGGGGAAAGGCCUGAGGUUGCAUCUGGCCGCGUGAGCUACGUGCGUUUUGCUGGCGUCGCGCGAAAGGGACCCAUGUUGUCGUUGUGAGAGCGCCGGUUGGAAACAUGUUGUCACAGGACGACACGCCGUCGCCACCCGGCAGCCUCCGAGCCAACAGCCCGGCGCGCUCCACGCUGCGCACCCCAGUCAGCGGUGGCGGCGCGCGCAGCUUCGGCAGCAGCGGCGGCGGCGCACGCGGGAUGAGCAGCGGCGGCGGUGCCCGCGGAAUCGUCAGUGGCGGCCGCCGCCAGCCUGUGCUGUUGCCGCCUCCCCCCGAGCCCGAGGACAGCGAUUUAUAUUCGCAGACCACCACCACUUCGCCGCGACCACACCUGCAGCAGCAGCCGUCGGCGCAGCGGCAGUUGCCGCCCCGGACAUCUCCCAGUGUGCGGCAGCCGGCGGCUCCGGCGGCGGCGGCGCCGCCGGCGCAAACAGCUGCUUUUCAGCCGCAGGCAAUGGCCGCGAUGGCUCCGCCACCGGUGGUGGCGCAGCGGUCUGUUCGGAUCAUGAGCGAUGCUGCCACCUCGACGCCCACCCACAUGGCACAGCAGCAGCAGGCAGCGGCAGUAGCAGCGGGUGCCGGUGCUACAGCUUCCCCGGUCGUUGCACGGACGCGGGCGCAGGCGUACAAGACGCCGCAGCCGCAGCAGCAACAACAACAGCAGCAGCAGCAGUAUGUGGUGGUGUACCUGCCCCAGGUGAGCGGAGGAAGCAGUAGCAGCAGUAGGCUGUGCGUGCACGGGGGCAAGGGCGGGCAAGCACGCCGUGCAUCGCUUCGGCAUGCGGGCAUGACAACAAAAAAUGCAUAAACGCUUAUACCUGAUGAGUGAUUACCGGUAUGCUGCGCUGCUCGCCGUGUCGGCCCCCGGCUCUGACCUGAAGCAUCGCCUUUAUACUUCUCCUCCCGUUCCCCCCAGGGCCCCGGCAGCAGCGGCCCCCGUGCCAUCCUGGUGCCCUCCGAGGCGCUGCAGCCCGCGCCCAGCACCCCCGCGCCCAGCGGCGGCGGCGCGCCGCCCUCCCCCUCCUCCCUGCAUUACUCCCCCGCGCCCUCGCUACGCAGCGGAACCGUUGGUUCCACGGCCUACACAGGAGGAGGAGGCGGCUCGCCGUAUUCGCCGCAUUCGCCGUACGCGCCGCCGCCGCACAUGCCAACCGUGGCGUCGAUUGCUGGCCACGGCAGCCGCGGCGCCGCCGGGUACGGCUCGCCGUACCAGGCGCCGCAACAGCACACACACAAUGCGCCGGCGGCGGACAGUAGCUACAGCCCCCGCCAACCCCUGUACGGGUCGACUGGUAUGAACGGUACCAGCCCGUACACAACCGCAACCGCCCACCCGACGUCAGGACCGUACGGGCACACGUCCGUGCCACGGCCUGGCUCGCCCCCGGCCUACAAGUACUUCUCCCCGCCCUCCUCGCCGCCCUCCCCUGGGCUGUCGUACGUCACCUCACCGCCGCCGUACUCCACAGCAGCGCCGCAGCAGCAGUACAAUCCGUACGCAUCGCCGUACUCGCCCGCCACGUCGUCCCUGUACGGCAGUCCGGCACCGCCGCCACCACAUCAGCCUCCGGCUGUAGCAACGACCGGCCCGUGGCUGGGCGCGGGGGCUACUGCUGCUACCGCCGUGCCGGCAGUGGUGCCGGGUGCUGCGCCGGGCAGUGUCAUGGUGUUACAGGUGUGUGUGGGGGUGUUGGCAGGAAAGUACAUCAGCAUAACCUUUGUUCUAUGGCACAAGGAUGGCAGCACGUUAUCUCUUGUGGUUGUAUGGUCUGGGCGCUGGUCCGGGUGCAACUAGGUGCAGCUUCGCGUCUAAUGUGAAUGUGAGUGUGUCUAUGUGAAUGUGUCUCCCACUCGCCCUGCUACAGCCUGUGUCGGCCACCAUGACCUCAUCCGGUGCGGUGGUGCUACAGCCGGCCAUGGCGGCACCCGGCGGCAUGGCGGCGCCGCCAAUGCUGGUGGUGGCGCAGGUGCGGCGUGUUUGCUUGCGUCCUUGUGCUCUGUGUGUACGUUUGGAACCCACCAUAGGGGAGCGGGGAGGGGCUGGGGGCGGUGGGAGAUCCGAAGCGCUUGCACAUCCGGGAAUGCGAUUCCAAGCAUUUAGGCGGUUGUGGCACGCAUGCACAACACCAAGCCCGUUGCCCUAAUCCCGCUAAAACCAAGCUCGUGCGCAUGCCCCGCCCCACGUGGCCCCGUUUGUUUUGUAGGACCCCGACUCAAUGCCGGGCGGCGGCGGCGGCAGCGGCGCGUCCCCCGGCCGCCAGCGCUCCGUGCGCUUCUCCCGUACGUACGACGAUGAGGAGGAGCAGCCAGAGGGAUACGACAGGCGGUACGACCAGGAUAUGGAUGAGGCGGCCCGCGUCAAUGGCGGCGGCAAUGGCAGUGGCAAUGGCAGUGGCAAUGGCAGUGGCGGGCGCCGCCAUCACUCGACGUACACGUACGUGGCCGGCCGUAACGCCGCGCCGUACCAGGCGCCAACCGCGGUACCCUCGUACCUCACGCCGUACCUCGGCGAGAUGUCCCCUCGCAUUGAUGAGGGCACGGGCAUGGGCGUUGGACCAGACGAUUGGGAGGGCGCGGAGGAGCGGGCGGCGGCGCAGGGCGCACGUGCGCGCCUGCGCAGCGGCGGCGGCGCCGCAUCGCUCAUGUCCAAGUAUCGGGACCUUUGGAGCACGCCCGCCGGGGCAGUAGCCGCGGCGCCACACGUACCGGUAGCAGGCGGCGGCCAGCCCGCGUACCUGGUCGAAGCAUACGCCGGCGGCGGCACCACAGCCAUGGCGGCGGCGGCGGCGCGGCCGCAGUCGCGUAGUGCCUCGCCGCGGCGCGAGUCGGAAGUGAUGCUUGGCGGCGGCGGCGGCGGCGGGCUGGACGGCACGGCAGCCGGAUUUGCGGCGCCGCCGGCACCUGCCGUACACAACAUCUCGUACGAGCGGUUGGCGGCGCUGGCGGGUUUGGAUCCAGAGGUGCUGGGUGCCGGCGCGGCGGCGGGCCUGACGGAGCGGCGGCGCAGCGGGGCUGCUACUGCCGCUACUGCCGUGAAGCCGUACGUGGUGCCUGGGGAGGAGGCGCUCCGGAAGAUGGAGAGUUUGCUGGAGGCAGCGGGUGAGUGCAGGCAGGGGCUUGACCGGGCAGGCGAAAGCUGCCGUCGUCACGCCCACGUACGGUGCGGUGCGGUACCUCUCGCAUGUGCAUGCCCUGCGCACUUUGCAUACGAAUUCACUCCUUACCAACUCCCACUUCCCACACAACAACACUCCAACGUCCACCCAAACCUCUACCCCUCUUUCUGUCAUCCACCAGAGGACGGCGACUGGGGCGCGGUGGCCGACAUGGCCGCCCUCAUCCGGGCCGGCUGGUGGGGCGACGCCCGCGAUGCCGCGGUGGCGCGUGGGCUGCUGCUGCAGGCGGCGCUGCGGGGUGAGGCAGCACUGGCGGGGCGGGGCGGGGCGGGGCGGGGCGGGGCGGGGGAAUGACUUUGCAUAACAUGGCUCGGGCAUUGGCGUGGCACGACCAGGGCCCAACCCAGGUGAAGCGUUGUAACGGUACCGGUUUUCAGCGGUUAAGCAGCUACGGGCCUCGUGCCGCGCAUGGACAUGCCCGUGCAUGCCUCUGCCUGCACAUGCACUUCGACAUACACGCACAUGUGUGAACCUUAUCACUGUCAUACCGUAACAUAGCAUCGUCUAUUGAAGAUUAUUUGACAUUGGAGUGGCACGAACGCACAUGAACAUGCCCUCGCAUGCCUCUGCCUGCACAUGCACUUUGACAUACACGCACAUGUGUAAACCGUAUAGCCUUCACAACAUGAUAUCAUCUGCUGGUGCUUCUUUACAUUAUUGUCACAAUACACACGCCCACGCAGGCGGCUCCGUGGCGGCGCACGCGGCCCUGGGUGGCAUGGCGGAGCGCGGCGAGGGCCUGCCCGGCGGCCUGCCCGACCAGGCGGCGGCGGCGCGGCACUACGCGGCGGCGGCGGCGGGCGGACACCGGGACGCCGCCACCGCAUACGCCUACCUGCUGGUGAGGGGAAGCUGAACACGCGUGACCCCUGCGUGUAUGGUGUGUGUGUGUGUGUGUGUGUGUGUGUGUGUGUGUGUGUGUGUGUGUGUGUGUGUGUGUGUGUGUAUAUGCAUCGGACUGUUUAGGUGCCACGCCCGCCUCACCCGAUUUGAUGCAUUGUUUGAUGCAUCACAACCUACAUUACUUGACUGCACUGCACCCUAUGUAUCCCCCGAGUUCGGUUUAGUUUGGGCUGGUAUCUACAACCAUCCCCCCCCCCCCCACACACACACACACAGGAGCACGGGCUGGGUGUGGCGCAGGACGAGCCGCGCGCCGCCCAGAUGUACGCCGCAGCCGCGCAGCGCGGCUGCCCCACCGCCGCCAACAACCUAGCCAAAAUGAUUCUGGACGGCCGCGGCGGCAUCAUGCAGGUGCCUGCAGCCGCCGCCACCGGCGGCCGGUCUCGGCGGCGCAUGGGUGCGGAUGGCGUGGCGGCGCCGGCGCCGGCGGCCCCGACGCCCGUUUCCAUGGCGAUGGCUUUGUUCAGGCGCGCCGCGGAAGCAGGCUCGGCGUCGGCGUGGUAUAACUUGGGCGUGUGCCAUCUUCAGCAGAUCAAGCAGCAGCAGGCUUCGCUGAAGAAGCUGGGACUGGCCGGGGGCGGAGGGGGAGGCGAGGCGACGCCGGUGUUGCUGGGAGCAAAGGACGAGGCCGGGAUGGCGGAGGCGAUUCGCUGCCUGGCUGAGGCGGCGAGCCGCGGCCAUGCCCGUGCGGCGCUGCGCGCCGGACACCUGCACCUGCUCCGCAGCGCCGCCGCCGCGGCCGUGGACGCCUUCGCAACCGCGGCGCUCAACGCCGCCGCCGCCAUGGCCGGCGCAGCUGGCGGCGGCGGCAGCCACGGCGGCGCCGCCGGCGAGGAAGCCGCCAGCCCGGCCGCUGCUGACGCGGCGGAGGUGGAGGCGGAGGCUCUGUGGUGCCUGGCACAACUGGCGGAGCGGCAGAGCGCGGUGCUCGAGGGCCGCGCGGCCGCGGCACUGGCGGCGGCGGCGGCGGGAUCGGCCGCUGGCAGUGAGGGCACUGGCGGUGGCCGGCCCAGCGGCGACGGCGGCGCGGCGGCGAGUCGGAUGAAUAGCGUCCGCAGCCGGGGGCUGGCGGCCAGCGCCAGUGGCAAUAGCCGCGCCAGCGGCGGCGCCCGCGCCUCUGGGGCCUCCGGUGAUGGCGACUUCGCCGGCGGCGGCUUCGACGCGGGCGUCGGUGCGAUGGGAGAUGACGACGUCGCAGUGGGCCAGCUGCUGGCGACGCUGGCGGGAACAAGCGCCGGCGGCGACGCCGCGGCUGCCGCCGCCGCAGCGGCGGCAAUCGCCGGCGGCGACGGCAUCAGCGAGGAUAUGGCGGCGGCAGCGGCGGCGGACCCAGCGGCGGCGGCAGCACUCCGCUUCGCAAAGGAGCUGUGCCGCCUGGACUUUGACUGCUGCCGCCAGCCCGGCGCCGUCCGGAGGGGCGGCGCGCUGACGACCGCGGCCGUGACGGCGGCAGGGCUCGACCCGUCCGGGGUUCCGCCAGCACAGCGCGUGCGCGGGCUGCGGCGGCUGCGACGUCAGGCACGCGAGGUGAUUGCCGAGUCGGCGGCGCCCGGCGUCAAGGCUGCCGCUGACAGCGGCGGCGACGGCGAGAGCCGGUCUUCGGUUGAUGGCGGCGGCGGCAGCGGCGGCUUCGCCGCCGGGCUGCCCUCGGCAGGGCCGGUCUCGUCGGCGCUAGCGCGCUUGGACCUGCAGCUGCAGCAGCCGGGAGAGCGCGCGACGCGGUCGCGGUGCGCGGCGGCGGAGCUGAUGGCGGCAGCGGCGGCGCGCGGCCAUGCAGGUGCGCAGCACUGGCUGGCGGGCUGGCAGUGGAGCAUGGGGCACACCGGCGGCGCGGCGGCGCUGUGGCAGGCGGCGGCGGCGCGGGGGCACGGCCCCUCGCUGAUGGUGCUGGGGCAGAUGGCGGAGGCAGGUCACGUGAUGGUGGCGGCGGCGGGGGCGUCGGCCGGCGGCGCCGCCGGCCAGCUGCAGACUGCGGGCCGUGGCGCGGACCUGGCGGCGGCGGCGCGUUACUAUCUGUAAGUGUGGGAGGUGAUGUGUGAGGGUUGUGUCUGAACUCUUUACGGGCACAGAAAUCAUGGUGAGACCUGCCUAUAGCUUGAAGCGGGUACAACAUGUUGAGUUCAUGAAGGCACCGACAGGCCCAUGCUGAAGUAAACAUUCCGUUUCAAUUCGUCCCGUCACAGGCGCGCGCAGGAGGCGGGUGCGCCGGGAGCCCUGGAGGCCAUGCGACGGGUGCAGCGCGUGCUGCAGCGGCACGUGACCCUGCAGGUGGGUUGAACGGUUGUACGUGUGUGUAUGCAAUUAUUGUUGUUGUGGGCAUGACGCACGCGGUUUAAGAAUGUUUGAGGCUCGUCUGGGCUUGUGGGCAGGACCGCGGAGGGGCGGGUAGGGGGUUACGGGUACGGAGGAUACACGGGCACAUGGUGGCAGUGUGAUACAGCGCGGCCUGAGGCCACGGCGUGCAACUCAGCAUUGCCUCUUUGCCAGCAUUCCGGCUCGCUGCGUACUGACAUGAUGACGUAUGGCCCAUCGACACACACACGCCCCCGUCUUAUGCUGCCUACGUGCUGACAGGGACGGCUGGAGGCCGUGGCGGUGAUGGGCGGACCUGCAACAGCUAGCGGGCGAGCGGCUGAAAAGGCUGGCAGCAGGGGCGUGAAGGGCGGUGGCGGGGCAGCUGGUGGUAGCCGACGGUUCUAGUGACUUAGAAUGGUGUCCUGCAGGCAUGGGUGGCCGGGCUGUGUGGCGGACUGCUAUGCUGAUGCUGGGUCUGGCACGGGAUGGUGCUUGCGUGUCAGAGUCAACGAGGGGACUCGGUGCAGUGUGUAGAGUGUAGACCGGCUGGCGUGAGGCGGCGUCUUGGUGUUCCCUGUGAUCCGGAUUGCUGCUUGUCGUAUCGGCGUGGGCUGACGGCGGUACCGAUGCAUGCAUGGCUGCUACAACGCAAGAGUCGCGGCGGUCAACACAACGUGCGCACACGUAUGGCGCCAUGCGUCAGACUGGCCAUCGCGGAAAUGACGUCCUGCGAGGUCGUUGGAACAAGAAACUGCCUCCCCAUGUGCAGAUACGGCAUACUAUCGAAAGCCGCACACCACACAGCAUGUCCGUAGGCACUGGAACACACACAACUGCAAAUGCCCAAUGCAUGCUAUAGCCUAAGAAGCCGUUCCUUUGCGCACGUACGUUACCAAACACGAUGUAGUCAGCAUGGAUCACGGAUGAGUGCAGAGCGUGCGCAUAUGUUCUUUAUCGUCUGCGCGCAAGGGUGUCGCUGCUGUUACAUCGAGUUGCUUGCUUGUGUACAAGCAAGGACAAGCAGUAAGGUGCCAAGACUUGUUCUGCGCUUUUGGCGUCCCUUACAGCAUGGGAGUGGUGAUGACCUAUGGGGAGAUGCCCACUCAACGCGCAACGGGGAUGUAGGGCGGCGGCCUAGCUCCGAGCCUCCGACACCCAUCAGUCAACGCACCGCACUACUGAGGGCAUGCAGGCACACACACCGCACACGUGCACCGCGACAGUUGUCACGGGAACUAAUUGCAACUUCCCAAGUGUUCUUCCUUGAUGUGUGUCUUGGCCAGGGGUGCCUCGGCACGCGAUCCGGUGACUCAUCGGUGACGCAGGGCAGAGGGCGGAAUGGGCGGGCCGCGCGUCCUGCGUUGUGAGUGUCUCAGUGACUAUGUUGCGGAGCGGUGCGAGCCGUGCAAGGGCCAUGGGGCAUCUGUGCAGCAACGCACCGACCCGCCAGGCCACGCCACGCUAGGUGGCCUGCAAGUCUCGCGUUCGGGCCGACGGAAGUGCACGGAAGCCAUACCAGCGGCCAAGGUGCGGAGGUAUGCAUGCUGCGUGUGGGGGCCCUUGACGGUGGGCGGCUACUGCGGUGCGGUAUGGGCCGCUUCCGUGCCCUGGAGCCUGUGCGCUGUGCCUGCCCGGCUCUGAGUAGUGAGCCAGGCUAGAUGACAUGCUGUAACUGCGCUCGGGCCGCCAGGAAUCAACACGGCCGGGCCACACGGUGUCCGGGCGCUCGGCCACCCCACACAGCGCAGGGCCCACGGACGAGCCAAGCAUCCGCGCGGCGGCUGUAAAUAUGCCCAGCCAUGAUUCAUCCAGACGUGUGUCUAUAUGGGCUUGCUAGGAGCUCCCUGGCAGUGCACGAGAGCCAUGCUUGGCGCGUGGGUGGGCAUGUCGACAUGUUUGCCGGGUCCGCAUUUCGUUAGGAUUCGGACUACCCCCACUUCAAGGCUGCUUGUUCGCGAUCAUUGAGGACCACCUAUAUGAUAAUAGGCAAAUGGAGGAACCGACGCCAGGAAUGUGGCGACUUUUAGACCAAGCCUUAGCGGCUCGCGACCGGGCCGGCCGCGCGAGAAUUGCGAAAACAACUCCCGAGGCCUGACCCAAUGCAGCUCAACCAGUGCGACAUAUGGCUUACACAUAUGACUGUAUAUCUAAUAUUUCACAGCGCUCGCCAGCAGCGCCACAAACGUGUGCCAGGUCGGGCCGUGGCACGGUGCCCGGCCAGUGCUCUGCGUGCAGUUCCUAGGCCGCCAUGCCCCUCUGGCGCAUACCGCUCCUACCCCCCGUCCUCCAUGCACCUCCGCAUACAUGCAUAGCAGUCGCCAGCAUCGCAGCUUGGCAAAGCGGCCCGCGCACGGACGCCGCCUAGGCGGCACCCAGCCCAGGGGUGCGUGCCAGGCCACGCGCUGCUGCGCCCGCAGCCGGCAGAGGCUGCAUGGGCUGGCCACACAUGCCGCAGUGACGUGGCUGGCUGGCACACAGCCUGCGCAUAGCGAUGCAGGCGGCCCUGGCCAGCCAGAAGCCGCCGACUCGCACCCACCCAUGCCGUUCGUGGCCCGCCGCCGCCGACAACACAAAUUCAGCGCAUCCCCAGUCGCGGCUUGGGCGUGGGAUUGAUUGAAGGGGCGCCUUCCCACUUCCGAUAGUACCCAGAGCCUGUCAGGCCAUGUGGGGAUGCGCGGAGGGGCGGAGUGGACAGGGCGCGUGCGGAGGUAUGCAUGCUUCGUGUGGGGGCCCUUGACGGCGGGCGGCUACUGCGGUGCGGUAUGGGCCGCUUCCGUGCCCUGGAGCCUGUGCGCUGUGCCUGCCCGGCUCUGAGUAGUGAGCCAGGCUAGAUGACAUGCUGUAACUGCGCUCGGGCCGCCAGGAAUCAACACGGCCGGGCCACACGGUGUCCGGGCGCUCGGCCACCCCACACAGCGCAGGGCCCACGGACGAGCCAAGCAUCCGCGCGGCGGCCGUAAAUAUGCCCAGCCAUGAUUCAUCCAGACGUGUGUCUAUAUGGGCUUGCUAGGAGAUCCCUGGCAGUGCACGAGAGCCAUGCUUGGCGCGUGGGUGGGCAUGUCGACAUGUUUGCCGGGUCCGCAUUUCGUUAGGAUUCGGACUACCCCCACUUCAAGGCAGCUUGUUCGCGGUCAUAGUGGACCACCUAUAUGGUAAUAGGCAAAUGGAGGAACCGACGCCAGGAAUGUGGCGACUUUUAGACCAAGCCUUGGCAGCUCGCGACCGGGCCGGCCGCGCGAGAAUUGCGAAAACAACUCCCGAGGCCUGACCCAAUGCAGCCCAACCAGUGCGACAUAUGGCUUACACAUAUGACUGUAUAUCUAGUAUUUCGCAGCGCUCGCCAGCAGCGCCACAAACGUGUGCCAGGUCGGGCUGUGGCACGGUGCCCGGCCAGUGCUCUGCGUGCAGUUCCUAGGCCGCCAUGCCCCUCUGGCGCAUACCGCUCCUACCCCGCGCCCUCCAGGCACCUCUGCAUACAUGCAUAGCAGUCGCCAGCAUCGCAGCUUGGCAAAGCGGCCCGCGCACGGACGCCGCCUAGGCGGCACCCAGCCCAGGGGUGCGUGCCAGGCCACGCGCUGCUGCGCCCGCAGCCGGCAGAGGCUGCCUUGGCUAGCCACGCAUGCCGCAGUGACGUGGCUGGCUGGCACACAGCCUGCGCAUAGCGAUGCAGGCGGCCCUGGCCAGCCAGAAGCCGCCGACACGCAUCCACCCAUGCCGUUCGUGGCCCGCCGCCGCCGACAACACAAAUUCAGCGCAUCCCCAGUCGCGGCUUGGGCGUGGGAUUGAUUGAAGGGGCGCCGUCCCACUUCCGAUAGUACCCAGAGCCUGUCAGGCCAUGUGGGGAUGCGCGGAGGGGCGGAGCGGACAGGGCGCGUGCGGAGGUAUGCAUGCUGCGUGUGGGGGCCCUUGACGGCGGGCGGCUACUGCGGUGCGGUAUGGGCCGCUUCCGUGCCCUGGAGCCUGUGCACUGUGCCUGCCCGGCUCUCAGUACUGAGCCAGGCUAGAUGACAUGCUGUAACUGCGCUCGGGCCGCCAGGAAUCAACACGGCCGGGCCACACGGUGUCCGGGCGCCCGGCCACCCCACACGGCGCAGGGCCCACGGACGGGCCCAGCGUCCGCCCGGCGGCUGUAAAUAUGCCCAGCCAUGAUUCAUUCGGACGUGUGUCUAUAUGGGCUUUCUAGGAGAUCCCUGGCAGUGCACGGGGGGCAUAUCUGGUGCGCGAGUGGGCAUGUCGACAUGUUUGCCGGGUCCGCAUUUCGUUAGGAUUCGGACUACCCCCACUUCAAGGCAGCUUGUUCGCGGUCAUAGUGGACCACCUAUAUGGUAAUAGGCAAAUGGAGGAACCGACGCCAGGAAUGUGGCGACUUUUAGACCAAGCCUUUGCAGCUCGCGACCGGGCCGGCCGCGCGAGAAUUGCGAAAACAACUCCCGAGGCCUGACCCAAUGCAGCCCAACCAGUGCGACAUAUGGCUUACACAUAUGACUGUAUAUCUAAUAUUUCACAGCGCUCGCCAGCAGCGCCACAAACGUGUGCCAGGUCGGGCCGUGGCACGGUGCCCGGCCAGUGCUCUGCGUGCAGUUCCUAGGCCGCCAUGCCCCUCUGGCGCAUACCGCUCCUACCCCCCGUCCUCCAUGCACCUCUGCAUACAUGCAUAGCAGUCGCCAGCAUCGCAACUCGGCAAAGCAGCCCGCGCACGGACACCGCCUAGGCGGCACCCAGCCCAGGGGUGCGUGCCAGGCCACGCGCUGCGCCCGCAGCCGGCAAGGGCCGCCCGGGCUGACCACGCAUGCCGCAAUGACGUGGAUGGCUGGCACAGAUCCUGUGCAUAGCGAUGCAGGCGGCUCUGUCCAGCCAGCAGCCGCCGACACGCACCCACCCGUGCCGUUCGUGGCCCGCCGCCGCCGACAGCACAAAUGCAGUGCAUCCCCAGUCGCGGCUUGGGCGUGGGAUUGGUUGAAGGGGCGCCGUACCGCUUCCGAUAGUACCCAGAGCCUGUCAGGUCAUUUGGGGAUGCGCAGAGGGGCGGAGUGGACAGGACGCGUGCGGAGGUAUGCAUGCUUCGUGUGGGGGCCCUUGACGGCGGGCGGCUUCUGCGGUGCGGUAUGGGCCGCUCCCGUGCCCUGGAGCCUGUGCGCUGUGCCUGCCCGGCUCUCAGUAGUGAGCCAGGCUAGAUGACAUGCUGUAACUGCGCUCGGGCCGCCAGGAAUCAACACGGCCGGGCCACACGGUGUCCGGGCGCCCGGCCACCCCACACGGCGCAGGGCCCACGGACGGGCCCAGCGUCCGCCCGGCGGCUGUAAAUAUGCCCAGCCAUGAUUCAUUCGGACGUGUGUCUAUAUGGGCUUUCUAGGAGCUCCCUGGCAGUGCACGGGGGGCAUAUCUGGCGCGCGAGUGGGCACGUCGACAUGUUUGCCGGGUCCGCAUUUCGUUAGGAUUCGGGCUACCCCCACUUCAAGGCAGCUUGUUCGCGGUCAUAGUGGACCACCUAUAUGAUAAUAGGCAAAUGGAGGAACCGACGCCAGGAAUGUGGCGACUUUUAGACCAAGCCUUUGCAGCUCGCGACCGGGCCGGCCGCGCGAGAAUUGCGAAAACAACUCCCGAGGCCUGACCCAAUGCAGCCCAACCAGUGCGACAUAUGGCCUACACAUAUGACUGUAUAUCUAAUAUUUCACAGCCCUCGCCAGCAGCGCCACAAACGUGUGCCAGGUCGGGCCGUGGCACGGUGCCCGGCCAGUGCUCUGCGUGCAGUUCCUAGGCCGCCAUGCCCCUCUGGCGCAUACCGCUCCUACCCCCCGUCCUCCAUGCACCUCUGCAUACAUGCAUAGCAGUCGCCAGCAUCGCAACUCGGCAAAGCAGCCCGCGCACGGACACCGCCUAGGCGGCACCCAGCCCAGGGGUGCGUGCCAGGCCACGCGCUGCGCCCGCAGCCGGCAAGGGCCGCCCGGGCUGACCACGCAUGCCGCAAUGACGUGGAUGGCUGGCACAGAUCCUGUGCAUAGCGAUGCAGGCGGCUCUGUCCAGCCAGCAGCCGCCGACACGCACCCACCCGUGCCGUUCGUGGCCCGCCGCCGCCGACAGCACAAAUGCAGUGCAUCCCCAGUCGCGGCUUGGGCGUGGGAUUGGUUGAAGGGGCGCCGUACCGCUUCCGAUAGUACCCAGAGCCUGUCAGGUCAUUUGGGGAUGCGCAGAGGGGCGGAGUGGACAGGACGCGUGCGGAGGUAUGCAUGCUUCGUGUGGGGGCCCUUGACGGCGGGCGGCUACUGCGGUGCGGUAUGGGCCGCUCCCGUGCCCUGGAGCCUGUGCGCUGUGCCUGCCCGGCUCUCAGUAGUGAGCCAGGCUAGAUGACAUGCUGUAACUGCGCUCGGGCCGCCAGGAAUCAACACGGCCGGGCCACACGGUGUCCGGGCGCCCGGCCACCCCACACGGCGCCGGGCCCACGGACGGGCCCAGCGUCCGCCCGGCGGCUGUAAAAAUGCCCAGCCAUGAUUCAUUCGGACGUGUGUCUAUAUGGGCUUUCUAGGAGCUCCCUGGCAGUGCACGGGGGGCAUAUCUGGCGCGCGAGUGGGCACGUCGACAUGUUUGCCGGGUCCGCAUUUCGUUAGGAUUCGGGCUACCCCCACUUCAAGGCAGCUUGUUCGCGGUCAUUGGGGACCACCUAUAUGAUAAUAAGCAAAUGGAGGAACCGACGCCAGGAAUGUGGCGACUUUUAGACCAAGCCUUUGCAGCUCGCGACCGGGCCGGCCGCGCGAGAAUUGCGAAAACAACUCCCGAGGCCUGACCCAAUGCAGCCCAACCAGUGCGACAUAUGGCUUACACAUAUGACUGUAUAUCUAAUGUUUCACAGCGCUCGCCAGCACCGCCACAAACGUGUGCCAGGUCGGGCCGUGGCACGGUGCCCGGCCAGUGCUCUGCGUGCAGUUCCUAGGCCGCCAUGCCCCUCUGGCGCAUACCGCUCCUACCCCCCGUCCUCCAUGCACCUCUGCAUACAUGCAUAGCAGUCGCCAGCAUCGCAACUCGGCAAAGCAGCCCGCGCACGGACACCGCCUAGGCGGCACCCAGCCCAGGGGUGCGUGCCAGGCCACGCGCUGCGCCCGCAGCCGGCAAGGGCCGCCCGGGCUGACCACGCAUGCCGCAAUGACGUGGAUGGCUGGCACAGAUCCUGUGCAUAGCGAUGCAGGCGGCUCUGUCCAGCCAGCAGCCGCCGACACGCACCCACCCGUGCCGUUCGUGGCCCGCCGCCGCCGACAGCACAAAUGCAGUGCAUCCCCAGUCGCGGCUUGGGCGUGGGAUUGGUUGAAGGGGCGCCGUACCGCUUCCGAUAGUACCCAGAGCCUGUCAGGUCAUUUGGGGAUGCGCAGAGGGGCGGAGUGGACAGGACGCGUGCGGAGGUAUGCAUGCUUCGUGUGGGGGCCCUUGACGGCGGGCGGCUUCUGCGGUGCGGUAUGGGCCGCUCCCGUGCCCUGGAGCCUGUGCGCUGUGCCUGCCCGGCUCUCAGUAGUGAGCCAGGCUAGAUGAUAUGCUGUAACUGCGCUCGGGCCGCCAGGAAUCAACACGGCCGGGCCACACGGUGUCCGGGCGCCCGGCCACCCCACACGGCGCAGGGCCCACGGACGGGCCCAGCGUCCGCCCGGCGGCUGUAAAAAUGCCCAGCCAUGAUUCAUUCGGACGUGUGUCUAUAUGGGCUUUCUAGGAGCUCCCUGUCAGUGCACGGGGGGCAUAUCUGGCGCGCGAGUGGGCACGUCGACAUGUUUGCCGGGUCCGCAUUUCGUUAGGAUUCGGGCUACCCCCACUUCAAGGCAGCUUGUUCGCGGUCAUAGUGGACCACCUAUAUGAUAAUAGGCAAAUGGAGGAACCGACGCCAGGAAAGUGGCGACUUUUAGACCAAGCCUUUGCAGCUCGCGACCGGGCCGGCCGCGCGAGAAUUGCGAAAACAACUCCUGAGGCCUGACCCAAUGCAGCCCAACCAGUGCGACAUAUGGCCUACACAUAUGACUGUAUAUCUAAUAUUUCACAGCGCUCGCCAGCACCGCCACAAACGUGUGCCAGGCCGGGCCGUGGCACGGUGCCCGGGCAGUGCUCUGCGUGCAGUUCCUAGGCCGCCAUGCCCCUCUGGCGCAUACCGCUCCUACCCCGCGCCCUCCAGGCACCUCUGCAUACAUGCAUAGCAGUCGCCAGCAUCGCAACUCGGCAAAGCAGCCCGCGCACGGACACCGCCUAGGCGGCACCCAGCCCAGGGGUGCGUGCCAGGCCACGCGCUGCGCCCGCAGCCGGCAAGGGCCGCCCAGGCUGACCACGCAUGCCGCAAUGACGUGGAUGGCUGGCACAGAUCCUGUGCAUAGCGAUGCAGGCGGCUCUGUCCAGCCAGCAGCCGCCGACACGCACCCACCCGUGCCGUUCGUGGCCCGCCGCCGCCGACAGCUCAAAUGCAGUGCAUCCCCAGUCGCGGCUUGGGCGUGGGAUUGGUUGAAGGGGCGCCGUACCGCUUCCGAUAGUACCCAGAGCCUGUCAGGUCAUUUGGGGAUGCGCAGAGGGGCGGAGUGGACAGGACGCGUGCGGAGGUAUGCAUGCUUCGUGUGGGGGCCCUUGACGGCGGGCGGCUUCUGCGGUGCGGUAUGGGCCGCUCCCGUGCCCUGGAGCCUGUGCGCUGUGCCUGCCCGGCUCUCAGUAGUGAGCCAGGCUAGAUGACAUGCUGUAACUGCGCUCGGGCCGCCAGGAAUCAACACGGCCGGGCCACACGGUGUCCGGGCGCCCGGCCACCCCACACGGCGCAGGGCCCACGGACGGGCCCAGCGUCCGCCCGGCGGCUGUAAAAAUGCCCAGCCAUGAUUCAUUCGGACGUGUGUCUAUAUGGGCUUUCUAGGAGCUCCCUGGCAGUGCACGGGGGGCAUAUCUGGCGCGCGAGUGGGCACGUCGACAUGUUUGCCGGGUCCGCAUUUCGUUAGGAUUCGGGCUACCCCCACUUCAAGGCAGCUUGUUCGCGGUCAUAGUGGACCACCUAUAUGAUAAUAGGCAAAUGGAGGAACCGACGCCAGGAAUGUGGCGACUUUUAGACCAAGCCUUUGCAGCUCGCGACCGGGCCGGCCGCGCGAGAAUUGCGAAAACAACUCCUGAGGCCUGACCCAAUGCAGCCCAACCAGUGCGACAUAUGGCCUACACAUAUGACUGUAUAUCUAAUAUUUCACAGCGCUCGCCAGCACCGCCACAAACGUGUGCCAGGCCGGGCCGUGGCACGGUGCCCGGGCAGUGCCCUACGUGCAGUUCCUAGGCCGCCAUGCCCCUCUGGCGCAUACCGCUCCUACCCCGCGCCCUCCAGGCACCUCUGCAUACAUGCAUAGCAGUCGCCAGCAUCGCAACUCGGCAAAGCAGCCCGCGCACGGACACCGCCUAGGCGGCACCCAGCCCAGGGGUGCGUGCCAGGCCACGCGCUGCGCCCGCAGCCGGCAGGGGCUGCAUGGGCUGGCCACACAUGCCGCAGUGACGUGGCUGGCUGGCACACAGCCUGCAACACGCCUCUAUAUGGGUUGAGAAGCCUGGACAAGGAUGUGGAGCAGCCACCGGGCUUCUGCCGCAGCCAACCACUUCAUCUGUGCGCCCCGUCCGAGCCACAAUGACAGACAUGGGUGCUACGCUUUCUGCAUGCACAUCCAAAACGAGACCCGUGAAGGCAUGCGCGCCUUCAAAUUUUGCACGUGCGUCUUUCCAGCCGUGCUCGUCCGCUGUCCAAUGCAUGAGCCGCCUACGAAAACCACACCAAAGAACACACACCGACACACGCACAUACACGCAAACCUCAUGGCCUCUAGGCACUUCCCGGUAACUUAUGUAUAGGUACAGCAUCAAACAUUUAUGUACAAUCGGCCGGCGGGCUCAUGUGCCGUUCGAUGUGGGCGGUCUUAUUUGUAGAGUCAGAUCAUACAUGACGCCCUCCCCAUGUGCGCUCCUGUUCGUUUACGGCCUUCUCGGCAGGACCACAAACGAGGAUAUCCGCAGGGAUUACCUUCAUACCACGUAAUCCGCACUUUAUGGCGUCAAAAGCGCAUCCACCUCAAGUAAGUUGCGAUUAGCUCAUCAAAGGCAGGUGGGUGUGGUCAUGGUGCUGUUACAUCGGUCGCUGCGGCACUGCCGGUCGCGGCCACACGCCUCGCCGCGCCGGAAGGCAGUACGACACGAGUACAGCAGGUCGGGGCGCAGCGGGUUGACGCUGGGGCCAGAGAGCGGCGCCUCACAGAAGGUGCCGCUGACGCAGUGGUUGUCUGCACGCAUCAGCAGAACGAGCAUGGCAGCACGAAUGGUUUACAAUUACACGUGGUUGUGGGAGGUUGAUUGAAGUGCAAGCUUAGCGGUUGAUCCUGGACUCCGGACCAGAAACCCCAACUAAAUGCACGCACACGCAGUCACGCACCUUCAUCGCAUUGCCGACAGACGCCCGUCACGCAGUGCCCGCUGGAGCAAUCCCUGCAAGCGAGCACGUGACGCCAAUAGACAUAGCUAAUAAGUGGGCGCAGGCAGCACGUCAACCACACCAAACCCGACGCGCAGGACACGUACGCGCGCGGCCGCAGCCCCUUUCCUACUGAUAAUACAGCAGAGAACAAAUCCCACCCUGUGCCCCGCAUCCCGGCCAACCGCCCGACCGCUUCAAGGCACCCAUCUACCUGUCUAGGUCGCACGCCCGGCCGUUAGGCACGGCGAUGUGGCAGGCGGAGGGCGAGUCGGAUCGGAAGUUGUCGCAGAAGGCCACAGGGUAGCCCAGCGCCGCGCAGUCCGAGUCCUCGAAGCAGCCUGUCGCGAGCAGACACACACACACGACGUUACAACCGUUUCUGGGACUGUACAGACUGGGCAUCGUGAAGCGCGGCUGCUGGUGGGCCGGCCCCCGCGGCCCCAGAUGCAUGGGGCCAUGCAUGCGUGGCAGUAUGUCGGUUUGUGCCUGUUGCGUGGUCAAGCCGGCGGCUUGGCCCCUCACCGAGGCAGUGCAUGCUGUAGGUGUCAUUGGUGCCCUUGGUCGGCCUGGUGGCGGUUGGAAAGAGCAGGAGUUUGGGAAGACGAUAAGGCGGAGUGCGGAGACAGGGGAGGUACGCACAGCGAUUUUAAUUUCUUGAGGAAGGAAUGUGAUGGUGCAACGGGACCGCGGGUCUCAUCCUAUACACUCGUACGGCAGGUCCGUUGGCUUGCACUAGCCCCAUUGAACCACAGCAGCCGUAGCUCGUCGCUCAAAUGCAGAUUAAACAUUUUUGAUGCGGCACUCACUUGUCAGACGCCUGGCAGUUUGGCACCAUAUUGCAGCUUUGCGACGCUUUCUGCACAGGUGGUGGGCAAUGCAGUGCAGCAUUGAACGUGUGAGCGGGUUGUGGUGAACCCUUCCCACCUCUCUGCAACCGCCCCCAGCCCUUUCAACGCCCCCUCCUUCAGACACCGCAUGUCUAGAUCAUGAUGUUUCACGUGGCCACAACCGCACGCACGGUUUCGCUUUGUCCCUUUGACUUCCCAAAUUAACACACGCGAGCGCACCAGGAUACAAGGAGUUCCAAUGCGGGCUUGCAGGAUGUCAUACGCCGCCGAGGGCAGGAAGAGAGCCGUGUUGCUGGGGGCCCAAGACUCGGGCCCAAUCUGUGAGAGAUGGAGAGGUGCAGAUGGUGUUGACGCACGUUAAGUAAUUGAGUCGGGGACACAUGGUUUUGGGUGGCGGGUACAAGCUUUCACUGCCAUGGCCGCAGCCAGGCAAUUCAUAAACUCACAGCUGCCUUGGGACCUCUGUCCUGCGGGUUCCCUUCCUUUGCAUUCCCUCACACGUAGCACAUGAGUAAAUCUUAACCUUGCUACCGGUAUCCUGGCACAGCCUACCUGGCAGUUGACCGCCAAGCUGGAGUGAGCGUCCUGGCUGGCGUUGUACGGCGCCACCUGGAAGCACCGGCCCGUGUGGUGCGUGCGGUGAGUGAAGGCGUGUACGGAGUGAGUAGAGGCAGGCCUCUCCAGGGGUGGCGCGUGCGCAUGUGGCAUGGCCAACUACUCGAACCCAGCUUGGACCCAACUCGAACCCAGCUCACAGCGACGACGUUACUUGCACCAACGGACGCAAGUCACGCAACAGCAUAUCACAACAACACGCAACAACACACAACAACACACAACUUACCAGCAUGUUGGGACAGAACAUGACGGUGUUGCCCACAUCGCGCAGGCCCGCGGACAGGGGCGGCACCGGGAAGUAGUCCCUGCGUCGUUGGCAGUUUGGAGACCGGGCGGAGGGAGGGAGGAGCAGGCGGUAAGGGGAAAGCGGGAAAGCGGGUGGAAGGAGUUCUGGUUCCGAGCCAGAUGAGGCUGCGGCGACCUUAACUGCUCUCCUGCUGCAUCAUGAAACGCCUGAUGGUUUCAGGGAACCCUGCUUCGGCACAACCCGUUGAAACCCCCAAACAGGUAACUAGGCACCCGUACACACCUGGCAAUCCUGUAGUGCAGCGUCCUGGGCCCAAGUAGGUUGUUGUAGCCGUUACGCCACACGUCAUUGCCCACACGCGGCGCAUUGAACAGGUACACGCCGCCCAUGAAGGGCCCGCGCACUCCAAGGGCCGUGAUCAGACGCAGCGCGGCAAUCGCUGCCACGCCAGCGCCUGUGUGCACAGCAUUUUACAAACACACACACACACUUAUGCAUUAUCCAUACCGUAUGCCGGUGCAUGGCUUGAGUUGGUAGGAAAGAUCUGGGCUGGUCAGCGUGCUUCCAGCUGCUGAUGUGUGUGUGCCAUGUGCAGGCGGAGUUGGUGACAGCAGUCCGUAAGCGGCACCGCCCCAAUGAGUUGCACGUACUAGGGUGUUCAUCACAUCCCCCUACCACAGGCCCUUCUCCCCUCUCCCUCCUUCCUCUCCCCCGCCUCCGCCCACGUUGCCGCUCUCUUACCCAUGCCGUGUCCCGCCACGUAGAUGCGCGAGGUGUUGCCGCCGCCUGCCGCCGCCCCCGCCGGCUUGACGCCCACCUCCGUGUAGGCCUUCCGCACCGCCCGCAAUAGGUCCACGUCGGUGGCGCUGAAUGCCGCUUUCAUGUCCACCUGAAGCCGCGUGUCCAUGGUAAACCACUCUGCAAGCGCGCAUACAUACCGUAUACAUACGUGUACGAGGGGUAUUGUCAUGUGGCUGAGUGCUGUUGGAUAAGGAGGUGGGCGACGGGCCGCAAUAACCACGUGGUGAUAGAUCGGGAGAGGUUUGAUUGGGGUGUGAGGAUUGCGCAGGCACAGACGCUAGCGCGCUCACACACGCAUACGCAUGUACCCUACAUGCAGAAACACUCGCAUGAUUCAUCUUACGUCGCCACACAGGGUUCAGUUCGCGCUACCAAGCGACUCACCUCCGGCACUUUCGGUCUGGGCGCUGAGGGGGGCGAGCCACGAGGCUGCACAGGAAUGAGUGGGGGUGCAAGGUCUCGAUCGCGACGGGGCCCAAUCAAACCAAGCCGGAAAGAGCACCGGACCAGAUAUAGCAGGGACAUAGGUACAGCAGCCAUGGGGCAACUGCACCCAUGAAGAGCACACGGGAGUGGCACGUGCUGGCUGGCUGAAACAGCCCCAGUCUCGUAGCGACCAUCCCCAAGCACAAUUCCCAGGCGGCGCUCACCCCGGUUUUCGUCCCCUCGCAGCAGCACGAACACGUCCGUAGCUGUGCGCAUCACAAUGGUUGUGUACGUCACCGCCGGGGUCGUGCUGCCCUGCUGCGCCGGCUUCACCCGGUAGUUCUUGACGACGGGCGGGGCCACGAUGCCCCACCUCUGUUAUCGAUUGGCAUGGGGGCAAGUGCGUGAGGUGUUGUAGUGAGGACAAGGGCAGUAUUGUAGUGAACAGCCUAGUGAACAACCUAGACGCCGCAGUACCGCCAGUAUUGUCAAACGCCAGAAAUCCUGCUGGCCUGUUCAUGGAUAAAGAUGACUGAACAUCGAUCUGCACAAACCCACGCACAAAGGUGCACACAUGCCGACACACACCCGCGCACAUGCGCCCGGGCCUGGACAGACGGCAGGGCCCAGCAGGAUACCCAUCCCCACCUAUCCUCACGCGCCCCCACCCCCAACCCCUGCCCCAACCCCAACCCCACCCCCCCACCCCAACCCCCCACCCCAAUCCCAUCUACAAGCCCAACCCCAACCCCAACCCGCACCCCUAACCCCGCCUCUACCUGUGCUCCGCUCAUUUUAGCUUGUUGAGUUUGGGCUGAUAUUUACAACCCACCCCAACCCCAUCCCAAUCCCCAACCCCUCACGCAUGCACGCACGCACGCACCUGCAUGCAGGCUGUGAAAGCCUUGUCGGGCGUCUUCGGAGACAGACCCCAAAACCUGUGUGCCAGAAAGAAGGGAAUGUUAUGAAGGAGCCCCUGGAUUAUAUCAUCAAGUAAAUGGCGGGUAAGGGUACGGCCAUUGACGGUUGGCACAUUUUUGAAAACAAGGCGGGAACCGGCAAUGUAUGGUUGCGCGCGCGCGGCACCGAUCCAACUGUUUGCAGAAUGUCCCUUAUUGGCACUCGGUGCGUGCGUGCCGCCGACGUUGCUCACCAGUCGUAUGACGCGGCGGUCAGAAAUGCAAACAGCGUGUUUUGCGGUUGGCUCGGGUAUGGCACAUUCCCGGAGCGGUUGAAACCACCGGCGGCGGUUAGGAAGCCGCCCUUGCACUCGCCGGGCCGAAGGGCUGCAGGCGCGUUUAAGUGCGGUUGCACAUUUCCGACCAGGUUGCAUGCGAGUGCCGAUCCAGCAGGACAAAUUCAGAAAGCAGACGAACAUUGGCUGAAGCAGAUUGCGGCUGUGUGGCUCGAGGCUGGACGCCCUCACCGCCGCUCCUUCCCUGCAGCCGCUGACCCUCUUGCCAUGAACAUCCUACGGCUACUCAUCUCAACCCUGCCUAGCUAGGAUAGCUCACCAACGCACGUCUUCAGGUCGUCGUCCCAGAACUGUUGAAGACGCGUGCCCCCGUUACUCGACGCAGGGAGAUCCGGGCACACGCAGAUGCCCGUGUCGCACGUCUGUAGGACAUACGGUAGGGCAUGUCGCAUAAGCGCACACAGGUGUUUGUUAUCGACAGCAACUCGCCGGUGUGCAGCUUCGAGGCUUUGCAUCGUAAAGCACAUGCGAACCCAUGCCAACCCUUUGACCGAGAGCUGCAUCCUACGCUUUCAUGUGCGCUCCCUCGCAAUUCCGCACCUGUCCGGUACCGCACACUGUGCCGCAGCCGCCGCAGUUGCGCUCAUCGCGUUGGAAGCUGGCAACAGCGACGCAUCCCGCGCCGCACCGCACCUGUUUAAAAUCAUGCAAUUUGUGUGUGGAUUACCCCAAGUCAGCCAGCGCAGCGGAUGGGGUGGCCAUCCUGGCUCUCAGGCAUCCUGGCCUCGUGCCCCGUGUACCGUAUGCACCUUCAAUAGGCACCCUCUCCUGUGACAUGUUGAGCCCCCCCGCAAUAGUCUGCCACCGCCCAGACCGCUCUAGGUCCAUCGGUAAAGGUGCACCUCAGCAUUGUGUCCACAACUUGCCUUGCCCUUGGGGCAGACGCACUUGCCGUUGCGGCACUUGGCGCCACCUGUGCACUUGUUGUUACAGGCUCCGCAAUGCAUGUCAUUGUCCUUCGACAGGUUCACACAGCCGUCGUUUGCCUGUGCAAUGAGUGCGUUCAUAUAAGCAUCUAGGGUCAUAUUGUUUGGGCAAACACUUUGAUUGCGGUGAGCACAGGUCUUGAACGAGCGGCCCCUGGUCAUCGUGCGGCACGCAGGAAGUUCGCAGCACGCCACGCAAGCUGCCACCAACCGACUGAUAGUCCACCGAGCUUCUACCCAGGCGCCGGCCAAAACGCAUGCCGGAUACUUACUCCGCAAUAGGUGGUGCCAGAGCGGCACUGGCACGUCUUGUUAACGCACACCAAGCCGUCGCCUUCUUUGCAGGGGCAUGGCCCCGCUGUGAAUGGGGUCGGCGAAGGCGUCGCGACCCCCACGGCCGAAGUAGAUUGUUUAAGCGAUCGUGUUGAUUGUGUUGCCGAAGCUCGCGAUACUACCAGCGCGAGCGCGCAUACAAGGGCAGUUGAAACGCAAAACGGGCCAACUCUACGUGAAGCCGUCAUUUCCGAAUACGAAUGGCGCAUGUAUGUACCCUUAUCAACGAGUAAGUAUGAAGUUGCGCAGAGUCAAUGACGCGCUGGGGGCCGCGGCGCGUUACGCGGAGAGAACUGGAGAGAAGCUCCCGGCGAAAAGCGAAAUCUGAACAUGUACGUGUUGCGUUUUGUGGCAUGUUAUGUUCGUUGCAAUUCAAUUGCCAAUCCUGAAUCAGGGCUGCAGAUACGCGCCGCGGCGCCGGUCACGACGCCAAAACCGUGUCGGCGCGCCCGCCCCUGCCCGCCCGCCCCUGCCUGCGCCCGCCGUGGCAUGCCCACCGAAACUGCCUCCGCUGUCGAGACAGGCCGCCCCUGCUGAAGCUCACUGAAGUUAGGGGGACCCUGCGCUGACGCUUGCUCAUCCGCAACAUGACAUCCUGAGUCUUAUAAGAUACUCAGGGUAGCUGAGCACGAACCAGCCCAAAAGCUUCUGACAUACGGUACGCCCACUGGCUGCGAAGCUGUUUCUGGGAAUCAGUGCUGCGCAACCGAGCCGAGAACGUAGCACUCACGCGCGUCGUACGGCCCGCUAGCCUUUUACACGGCUUCCAUUGCAGUGCUCCAAGCAAGAUUCACACAAUACGAUAUGGCCAUGGCCCUUGCCACGCCGUUUGUCAGAGUUGCAUCCUGCAGUCGGCUUGUGGUAAAAUGCGAUGUCCAGUCAGGAAGGUGGCUGUGCCGUCAUGCAUUCUUCUUCAACAAUAUUAUCAUCUCGGUCCAGCAUCCGUGACUCCGUGGCCCCGUCCAAGCUGUCCGCCUGUCCCGCACCGCACAACGUGCAACUCCAUACCGCAACAUGCACAUACGUGCGCUUCCCAUUCCACCCACUACAAAAAUCGGCUACCGCUGCUCGCCGCGCCUCCACCGCCCUUGCCACUGGCAGUAGCUGCAGCACUGAGGUCAGACAGGCUCAACGACAUCCCCAGAGGCGGCGGCACGUCUCCGGCUGUGGCCGGCACUGACAUCACUGCCGACCUGCCCACCGCGGGCUGCUGCUGAGCCGCCACACCAUCGCGUUGCGCACCACCGCCACCGCCACCCCCACCGCCUGAGCUGCUGCCCUCGCCUCGUCCGCUCCCCCUGGCAGUAGCAGGCGCGGCGGGCAGCCGCGGCACAGGCAGCCCCGCCGCCCGCAGCUGCUCAUCCAGACUGCUUCUCAGCUGUGCCACCAUGGCCACCGUCGCCGUCGUGGAGGCGGGCCUUGAAGCCGGCCCCGCCCCCGCCCCCGCCCCGGCAGCCGCAGCCGCGGUCUCGUGCUGGCUAUGCCAUGCUGACGGCGGCGCCCCGCCACUCCGCCUCACUCCAAUAAUGGCCUGCUGCUGCUGCUGCUGCUGCAUGGUGCCGCCAGCCGCCGGCCCGGCCGCCGCUGACGUGGCCCCUGUCGCCAGCCGCUCGCUCCUGAGCUCCGCCAGCCGGGCCUCAUGGCUGGCCGCCACGCCGGCGUGCCGCGCCGCCUCCGCCUCCUGCGCCAGGCUGCGGUGCCGGUGCUCCCGGCUGGACAGCAGCGCCCGACCCAACAGGCUGUCCAGCACACCACCGCCACCGCCACCAGCAGCACCAGCACCAGCAGCAGCACCGCCACCAGCACCAGCAGCAGCACCAGCACCAACACCAACAGCACCAGCACCAGCAGCACCAGCAGCACCAGCCGCGUGGCCGCCGCCGCUGCUGGCGCCAGUAGCAGCGCCGCCGCCUCCGUAGCUGCGGGUCCCGGCCGGGGCCGCCGCCUGGUGGCUGCGAGAGGCGAACCCGCCAGCUCCGUCGCCACUACUGGCGCGUGUCGUGCGGCUGCUGUAGUAGCUAGUGCCGGCAGCCACCCCCGCCCCAGCGCCAGCGCCGCCGCCACCAGAGAAGCUAGCAGGCAGCAGCGCGCUUGUGGACGCACUGGCUAAACCGGCUCGCCCGACGGCACCUCCGCUGGCCACGCACCCCGCGGAUGGCCGCGGUGCUUGUGCUGCCAGCCGCUCAAGCCCCGACGCCGCCGAAGCUGCGAGUGGGCCACGACGACCUCCGCCCGCGGGUCCAGCACCCCCUGCUGACGCGCCCCCGUUGCCGCGGCCCCCGCCGCGCCCUCCGUACAUUUCUGACGUACGGCCUGUGCCUCCCCCCGUGCCGCUCACAAAGCUGUCCUCCUCCAGAGUGGGCGAUGCGCAUCGCUCGGGCGGCGGCGGUUGCGGCAACGGCCAACCGUCGGUUGCGCAGGAGGCACCGUUGCCGCCGUUGCUGGCCGGGCCGAAGCCGCCCGCGCCACGCUGACCUCGUUGACUGGCGAAGGAGGCGGAGGAGGGCUGCGCAUCCACCCACGAGUCCCGCGCCGACGCUAGCUGUACGUGGUCGUCGUCGUAACCGUAUGGGUAACCGUUACCGUACGCGUCGUCGUACCCAGCAGUUGAGGCAGCUGCGGCGGGCGCGCGGUGGUUGUUGUGCAGCGGCAGCGCGGGCUGCAGGCCGCCAAAGCCACUGGGAGCCCCCGCCCCCGCCUUGCCGCCGCCACCGCCGCCACCGUUUGACUGCUGCUGCUGUUGCUGCUGGGCGUUGGUCCGGUCACCCAGGGGCCCUGUUGCCACUGCUGCUGCCUGCCUUUGCACCUGCGCCGCAUGUUGUUGCUGCUGCUGGUGCUGCUGUUGGUAUUGCUGGUACUCUUGGUGCUGGUGGUGGUGUUGCAGGACGGCUGUGGCCGCCGCCACCUGCGCCAUCGCAUCCGCCGCCAGCUGGUCGCGCAGCGCCGCCGCCGCAGCCGCCGUUUCCGCACCCAUCACCGCCGCCACCCGCCGCAACUCGCCCUGGUGCGCGUCCCGCAGCGCAACCGCCGCCGCCGCCAACCGCUCCUUGUACGAGGCGUCGUACGUUUCCGUUAGCUCAGCCACCUCGGCGGCGUGCUGCCGCCGUACGGCGGUUAGCUUGGCCUCGUGCUGCGCGCCCGCCGCCGCCAACGCUGCCGCCAGCCGCUGCAGCUCGGCCUGCUGUCGACAGAGCGCAUCCUCCAGCGCAGCGAUCUGAAGCAGCAAUGGAGUGGGACAGGCCGUAAACGCACGUCAGCCCUCCGCGCAUCCAUCUCGAUGCCGGUACGGCAUCAGCGGCUCUUGCCUCUGCCGGAUACUCUGAGCAUCGUCGCGCACCCCAAUCGACCAGCCGCCGAGCCCUCGAUUCCAGGUUUGCCACACCCCGGCCCCUUUGCCCCUGUCCCCCAUGCGUCUUCCUGCUUGGUGACCCAACCGGCCCUCGUCCCUACCCCUCCUCCUGCCCCCACCUUAUCCUCCUGGUCCUCCUGCGCUUGUCGAUGCGCCUGCAGCCGCUGCAGCCGCUCCACCUGAGCCUCCAUCCACUCCGCCGAGCGCCUCAACGCGUCCGCCUCCUCUGCCGUGCGCUUCAGCUGCUGCCGGUGGCUCCGCCCCUGCUCCUGCUCCUGCUGCUCCCGCUCCUGCGUUGAAUGCUGCUCCUGACCCUGGGCAUGGUGCGCCUGCUGCGUCUGCUGAAGCUGCUGCGCCUCCUCCUCCUGGGCUGCCUGCGCUUCCGCUUCAGCCGCGUCGCAGGCGCUCAGCUGCAGCAGCUGCGACUCCAGCUCCCGCACCGCCUCCCGCAGUGCCUCGGCCUCAGACCGCAGGUCCUGUGGUCAUGGCAGAUACAAAUACAUCUAUGAAACGACUAACGGACAGAUACGCCGUAAACGCGUUUGCGUUUGCGCCCUCUACAGCAUCCCUCUUCUAUUGCCCACCAGAACGACUGACUGUGUGUAACUUGGACACACCUGGAAUCACACCCGGGCCCUCGGGACUGACCCCAAACCGCACCUGCAUCUCCUCCUCCCGCUUCGCCGCGGCAGCCUCCACCUCCGCCACAGCCAUCGCCAACCGCGCCUCCGCCGCGCCCUGCGCCGCGGCUACCGCCGCCUCCAGCUCCGCUGCGUGCCGCGCCGCCGCCGCCGCCAGCCGCUCCUGCAGCGCCGCCACCUCCGCCGCGUGCCGCCCUAACAGCGACGACAGCUCCUCCGCAUGCGCCGCCUGCAGCGCCUCUCGCAGCCGUUGCAACUCAGCCUGCGCCGCCUCGCCGCCAGCCUUCCCAACGUCACUGCCACCCCCUCCUCCCGGCAGGCCCACACCACCCGCCUCCGCGGUGACGGCCGCGGCGGCCGCGGCGGCUGUCGCCUCUGCUGCCGCCUUUGCUGCCGCCUCCUGCGCAUGCGCUGACAGGUGGGCCCGCAGGGACUCCACCGCCGCCGCGUGCUCAGCCUGGAGUGCCGCCCGCAGCCCCUCCAGCUCCGCUGCAUGCUGGGCCUCAAGCCGCUGACGCAAGGCCGCCAGCGCGCCCGCCAUUCUCUCCUCCUGCUCCUCCGCUUCCGCCUCCUGACGCCCAACAGCAGCCCCUGCAGAGGCCUCGGCGGCGGCGGCGGCUGUAGCCUGCUGCACAGCUGCAGCCGCAGUAGCCUCCGCUACAGCCAGGUCCCGUAGCUCCUGCAGCUGUAACUGCCACUGCCGCCGCUCCUCCGCAUGCGCCGCCUCCAGCUCCCUCCGGAGCGCCGCCAGCGCCGCCGCCUUCUCGUCUUCCAGCCGCGCCGCCAGCUGCGCCUCCGCUGCCGCCGCCUCCGCCGCCAGCUGCUGCCGCAGUGCCGCCAGCUGCCGCCCGGUGGAGGCGGCGGCCGCGGCGUGGGCGUCCAUCACCGCCGCCGCCACGUCAGCCUCCGCGUCGCCCCGAGCCUGCACCACCGCCCACACCAAGAAGGGUGCCCAGAAUCGAGCUCACUCAGUCGGCCAUGCCCACUGCACGCAACCCUGCGCCCCGGUGGCGGCUACACACCCACAGCCAACCUCACCAGCAACCAGACCGCACGAUCCCGUAAUCCCCUACUCGGCGCUCUGUUGCACACGCACACGCGUUUCGACAAGAACAGUCGCACCUGCGCCAGCUGCUCUGCCAGCCGCUCCGCCCGCUCCCGCGCUGCCUCCAGCUGCUCUCCCGCCUCGUCCGCGGCCCGCUGCAGCUUUGCCACACGGUCGUCCACAUCACACUGCGCGUGUCAAAAUGUCAACAUGCGAAGCUGCAAUGUCAACGCGAGAAUGUGACGUCUCUUGGCCUAGCCCUUGACCUAGCUUUUGGCCUAGCCCUCGGCCACUCUUGCACGUUCCAACGAUACGGUAUCCCCGCCCCUUCCGCCCACGCUCCCUACCUGUGCCGCCUCCAGCCGCCCCCGUAGCGCCUCCGCCUCCGCCUGCAGCGCCGCAUGCGCCGCCGACAGCGCCUCAUAGCGGCCCGCGGCCGACGCAGCCGCAGCGGCCAGAGCCUCGUCGGCCUGUCCGGCGCGGCAGGGGAAACGGCAUGUAGAGCGUGUGGCUGUGCACGCAUGGUUGCCGUGCUUCACGUGACCGCUGUCGGUCGGCGCUGUGAAGAGCAAUGGGUUGGUGCUGUGACACGCGCGUAUGCCCUGCCGUGCUGUGUGCCUGGUUUGUGCCCCCGCAUCAGGCCUGUGCUCACCUGGCGCCGGGCCGCCUCGCGCACCUCCGCCAACGCCGACCGCACGUCUUCCACUGCAAUGUAGCGCCGCGGGUCUGUGGCAGCAGAGCAAAGGCAAACGACAGCCGCUCAUUGCUCUGCCCUGACAGCAACAGCCACUGGAAGGCAAACACACGGCAUCCAAGCCACCCCCUCAAACAAGGAAGGCAUCCAAGCUGCGUAACCAGAAAACGCGCACCUUUGGCGGCCGCCAACUUGGCAUUCAACUCCUUCAGACGCUCGAUCUCCUCGCGCGCCGCCCCCAGCAGCGCGCCCGUCGCGGCGGCUGUAGCAGCUGCCGCCGCCGCUGUGGCGGCAGUAGCAGAGCCGGGCAUGUGCUCAUCCGUCUGCGCCGCCGACUCGGCUGUAGCAGCCCGGCGCGCCUCAAGCCCGCCGUUACCCCGGCCAAAGCCGCCCGCUGCUUGGCCCGGAGGCGAGCCCAGGCCCGAAGGCCCGCGGGAACCAGAGGCCGCCGCCGCUGCAGCUACGGCUGCGCCCGGCUGCUGUCGUUCGUGUGUGGCCCCAUGCUCGUCAUCACGCCCGACCAUCUGCGCCCUCAGCUCAAUAACCCCCUCGCCACCCUGGUCAUCGUCAUCGUCGCUGAACAGCGCAUGCGCCAGCGACCGGGCGGCGUCAGGUCCCAGCGGUGUCCCGCCGGCCUCUGCCUCCUCGCCGCCGUCACCAUCGCCGCCCUCCGUGCCUUCAUCGUCACUGCCGCGGCUCCAGCCCACGUCCCCGCCCGUGCUUUCCCCCGUGUGGCGGCGGCUGGCGCCGCCUUGAGGCGCCGCGCCGCUGGGAGUGGCCACUGCGCCAAAGUCACUGAAGGCGCUCUGUGAGGGCUCGGCGCUGCACCCGCCAAAGCCGCCUCCGGCCUCCAACCCGCCGCCGUCACAGUGCCCGCCGACGUCCACCUGCAGACCCCGCCCGGCCCCUCUCGCAAAGCCGCCAACGCCGUUGCCUUCACGGGGCCUCGCGCCACCGCCGUGCUGCUGGCCGUCCUGGCUGUAGCACUGCCCACCGCCGUGGCUGUAGCAGACGGGGCCGCUGCCGCCGCCGCCGCUGUGCGCCGCCGCCAGCUGCUCCUGCAGUGCCGAUACCAGCCGCUGCAGCCCCUCACAGCGGUCCUGCUCCUGCCCCAGCCGCUCUUCCAGGCACUGCACACUCCGCACAAGCUCCGCCACCCUCGCCGGCCAGCCCAGCCGCCCCUGCUGCUGCGGCGGCCCCUGCUGCUGCUGCUGCGGUGGCUCUGCUCCGUCACUGCGACCGCAGGUGCUGCAGGCGCCUGUGCCGUUGCUACUGCCGCCCUCGCCGCUUGCGCUGGUGCUACUGCCGAAGCCGAAACCGCUGCCACCUGGGGUUGACGCCGCGCUCAGGGCCCCAAUGCUGGCUGCGCCAGUGCUGGAAGCAGCCUGGGUUGCGGCCACCGGGGCCACCUGGGCAGACGCGAAGGUGCCGCUGCCGGCGCCAAAGCCGGGACCGCCGGCUGCUGCAGCUGCCUCGCCGUGCUGCUGCUUGAGCUGUAGCAGUUCCUGCAAGUACGACACCUGCACAUGGGAGAAAGUGCCAGCACGUAGUCCAAGGUCAGUCACAAGCCACAUAGUCAGCGCAUGCAUCACCGGUCAGUGCACACGCCGGUACACGUCCCUGCCCAAUGUCUGUGUGCAUGUACGAUGUCGCAAGGACACAAGAACACUGCGAUGGGCUCUGUUGGCACCGUGGUUCGGUCUGCAUUCACCACCAGUCACUACCCCACCUGGUGCGCUGCCGUCCGUGCCUCCGUCCGUGCCGUCGCGGCCUCCUCCUGCAGGCGUCGCCGCUCCUCCGACGCGUCAGCCUGCAGGAGCACAUGACAAAUGGAGCUUGGUGGUGCCACUUUGCAGCCGUUGCAACACGACUGGCUCAGCAUAAGGCAAGCACGCGGCACCGAAGCCCGACCACUCGGCGCCGCCAAAAAAUAUGUAGUACACCCGUGGAUGUUCGGACCCCAACACCCAGACACCUUGCACAAUACGUAACCUUUCUCUCGCCAACACGCGCCAGCGUGCACGCACGCACACAAACCCACACAUACACACCUGCACUCGGCGAAGCUCCGCAUGCAGCCGCAGAAGCGCCUGGCCCCCGCCACCGCCAGCCGCCACCUCCAACUGCAUUUUUAACCCGUACGGCCGUGUCAGGCAACCGGCAGUGCCAGCAGCUUGGUGGCCAUUUACCGGCGCAGCCCCCCAAGUCUGUAUGCAAACUACUGGUCUUAACCUCUCCUAGACUCCAGCGCCAGCCCUUCGCCCACACGGCAUCUGGACCUCCCGCCCGCCCUCAGACUUGCACUUACGUCCACGUGCUCCUCCAGCGCGGCCUGCAAGCACUCAUUCGCCGCCGCCAGCUCCCGCCCGUCAACCUCCACCGCCGCCAGCGCUGCCGCCAGCCGCCCCCGCGCCGCCUCCGCCUCGACAGCUGCCGCUUGAGCUGCUGCCGCCGCCUCCUGCUGCCGCGCCGCCGCCGCCUCUGCGUUUGCCAGCUUCGCCUCAGCUGCCUCGGCACGCUUCGUGACCACAUCAAGUUGAGCAUGCAGAGCCGCUGCUUCAGACGCAGCCGCCUGCUGGACCUGUCGUUGUUGUACGGUUGUCACAUUGGGCAUGGUAAUGCAUAGGUUCAAUUGGAGUUACAGGGGUCACCUCCCGUGACUCCAUGCCUCAUCCGCACUUGACAGGGAACGGUGCGUGCGCCGGUACGCUUGUACAUACGCGCUGCUCAGCCUGCUUGUUUGCGGUGCUCCCACUCCAAUUGCUGGCCCGGCGAUACGGCGUGUGCGGCGACGGGCCAGCAGCCUCUUUCCGGCUUUGGCCCAACCCCCAGUCCCAUCCCUCCAGCUUGACAACUUGCGGCCCACACGCACCUGCUGCAGCUGCGCCUGCAGCUCCUCACCACCGCGGCCGCGGGCAGUGGCCAUCAGCCGUGCAGCGCCCAGCUCGGCUGUAGAAGAGAGGAGAGGUGAAGGGAUCAGCGCCGCUCAGCCCAAGGCCAAGAUCUCAACCCUGGAAGGCCUUUUGCCUCAACAUACUGUUGACAACGGGAUAUGCAUGCCAAACCCACACGCAGCUUGCAGUCGUCCCUCAGUGGAGGACGGAGUCCCCUCAGGUGCCCGCUCGCAUCCAAAGCUCCUUACAUGCCAGCCGCUCCCGCUCCGCCGCCGCCGCCUCCAGCGCCGCCGUCGCGUCCCGCUCCGCCGCCGCCAGCCGCCCGGCCAGCGUGGUCACUUCUUGCUGAAGCAGCCCAAUCUGGGAGAGGGCGCAGCGAGAGCAGAUAGAGUAGGAGGGGUGAAGACGUCGACGUUGUAGGUUGCACCGGGGGUACGGGAAGGCUCCUGGCCAGCCCGAUACAAUGUCGACACAUGAGCCACGGCCAGCUACAUGAAGAGCAGCGCAGCGUUCUUCGCUGUCUGGUCCGUGUUUUGUGUGAGUAGCGCUGCCCGCUGCCCUGGCUUUCGCACCUGUCCCAGUCUCGCCGUAAGGUCCGACUGCAGCUCCGCCACCACCGAGCCCUGUCAUGAUAUGGAGCGGCAGGUGCAGAGGCGGCUUGGGCGACAGGCUGCUGAGCGCAAGUGCUGAAGAGUGGAUAUGCGUACGCACGUCGAGCACGAGAUGUACGCUGCGGCCCUUCCCUUGCUCGCUCAACCUUUGCCCAGACCUUGUGCAGGCCCCGAGGCCCGCCAAGCAGAGUCCGCGUCCCCAUCCCUACACCUCUACAGCCACCCCGCCCGCCACCAUUACCACCAGAGGCAGCCCCCACCUGUGCCAGCGCCAGCCGGCCCUGCAGGUUGCCCCCUAGCAGCGCCACAUCCCGCCUCAGCGCCUCCACCUCCGCGCCCAGUCCCCAGUUGUCGCGCUGCAGCGCAGCCACGUGCGCCGUGGUGUCCUCCGCCUGUGCGAUCAGGUGCCACGUGUGAGCGUGUGGGUUCGCGUGGUGUCAGUCGCAUUUGCGAUGGAGCAGGUUGGUUCGGGCGAGUGGAAAGGGCUGGCACUGCGUUGCGGGUGACUUGGGGCUGUGAACUCCGGGCGCAACACGCGAAGCGGCAUACACACCUACCCCAGCCCGCCCGAAUGUACCACACCUGCUGCGCCGCCCCCGCGGCCCGCCGCUGCGCGGCGUCCAACGCCUCCCGGAGCUCCGAGUACUUGCGCUGAAGGCGCUCGAAGUCAGUGCUGGGCGGCAGCGUCUGCCAUCCUAGGUGAGUGCCGUGCUCGGAGCCGCUUGCACCGCUUGCCGCGCAGGUCGGUGAUGGUCCCAUCGCUGGAUGCGCAUCCUGUCCCUGGUAUCCGCUGCUCGCAAAGCUGUGUUCAGACGCUGCUUGCGGUGGGAGAGUCUCUGUUAAUCGAUGCACGAUUUUCGCGUCACCAGCAUCGCCAGCCCAGCGGUGACCACCCCACGGCGAGGGCGUUGAGUUCGCCGGCAUUCUGUAGGCUUGAAUUUCUGGUGGUUGCUCAGUGCCCGCGCGUGCCGAGCUGGGUUCGGCUGUCACCAGCCUCGGCUGUCCAAAGGCAGAUGGCCUGAACGUCCAGCCAAGGCUUGACGCAGGUGGGAGCUCCAUAUUCAAAUCCGUUAACGGCUAGACCGCAAAAGAGCAGGAGUUGGGUCUGCGUCGCGGCAUUUUGACUGCGGCUCACAACCUCGCUAUACGUCAGCUUUAGGAGGAAAUUACAUAUAGUGUGCUAAAUUGGUAUAUGCAGCAAUUUGAUAAGAUUGCGAGAGCGCCGGGCAGGUGGGCAGGUGGCGAUCGGUUCGGUGGCACCGUCGUCGUUUGGUUCAGUUUGGUUCAGUCCCUUGGUCGGGGUCUUGGGGACAGGUGAACAUCCAUGCGCGUCAGGUAUGGAAUUAUCUCAAGAGGAGCGAUGUUGAAAGCCAAGGGUAACGUGAGGCGCAAAGGUAGACCUGAAAGGUCGCAGGCCCAAUGAUCCGGCACGAACCCGAGAUGGGGGCCCGCCCUGUGACCGGUGAGACCGGGUUAAACAUGUUUGUGUGCUCCAUAAGGCUUGCGAACACUUGCAUGACACCAUGAUACGUUCCUGAGCAAGAAGGGCAGCCCGCGCAGCUGUGACGCUCCUCCAUCUUUGUCAAAGCGGCGAGCCUGUUUCUGGCCGCAUGCCAUAGUGUUUAAUUUGAACACUGAGAUAUCGUUAUGCCAUUAAAUACAAGAUUGUAACUGAGCUCGGACACUGGCUCCAGCGAACGCGUCUCGCGAAAUGCUCUACUGGCCUGGCGCCAUCUGUACGCAACUGCAGAACUAGAGUUUUUGCGUGAUAUCAGGCUCAGAACUCUAUUCUAAGAGGUGACAACAAGCGUAGAAGAAGGUCACGCUCAGGACCGCUGCGCUGCAGAACACCCUCAACAUGUCGGAACGGAGCCACACCGGUGUGAACCCUAACCCCGGCACCGCCCCGGCACCCCAGGACCUUCCACCGCCGCCCGCCGGGCAGCUGACCACGCAGCUUCACGGCUUGGCUCUAGAUCUCCAGCUGCAAUCACAGUCGCAACUGCCGCCUCCCUCACAGCAGCCUGGGGAAGGGGACGCGCCGUCCCCCAUGGACAACAUCCCCACGUCAGGUGCCCAACACCCCGGUCCCGGGCCCAGCUCAGGCGCAGCUUCCCCCACCUCCACUCACGCCGCCCGCUGCCCCUCUAGGGUAUGGAUCCCAGACAUUGUUGACCGGAUCGCAGCUUUCCUGCCGCCCAACGAGAUCCCGGCGUCUGUCCGACUGGUCAACCGCGCAACAGCCAGUCAAUUCGGGCGAGAUCGGCGCCACGUCACCCUUGUGGCGACCGAGCCAGUGCCCCCGCACGCCUUCAAGCGGCAGUGGGGGCACCCGGGGGGCGGGGCGGCGGUGCGGGCAUUGAGCCGGGGCAGCCGGCAUUUGCUGGUCACGGCCACGGCACGCACCGGCGUGUUGGAGAACCUGCAGGUAGAGCCAGGAGUCGGCUGUAGGCACCGAGAGGGGCGGGAGCUGUCUGUGGGAAGGUUCUGUAGAUGCAGUGGCAUGGGGGUUUGGGGCUCAUGCCCUAGCCACGGGGUGGGUAAGGCUUACACACACACACACGCACGCACGUACACACACACACACACGCACACGCACACGCACGCACACACACACACACACACACACACACACACACACGGGGCCGCCUGCCAUAAUUGCACAAUCACGUAGCGUACAUGCGCGCGUGCAACGCCACACGAACACUCACGCGCAGGCCUUCACAAACAGACCUUCACGCCCGCGCCGGCAUCAUCGUGUUGCCGCGCCCCGCACAGGCGCUGCUGGCCUGGGAGCAGUACUUCCCGGCCACCUGCGCGCUGAUGGCGGACGCGGCGGCGGGCGGCCACGUGGGCGUGUGCGAGUGGCUGCGGAGGGAGGCGGGCUGCCCGCUGCCCAGCCACUGCCUGCCGGACGUGGUGUGGAGGUGAGGGGCGGGGGAGGUGGGGGUUGUAAUUACCAGCCCAAACUAAACCAAACCCAACUAAGACGAGCGGGAGGGAGAGGUGGGGGCGGGGGAGGGGAGGGCGGGGACAAGGGCUCGGGGGGAUCUGCCCGUGCGGCUACAUGCAGCAUGCUCCGAAGCAGCCAUGAAGAAAUUGUGGACGAGGGCGACGGUGUGGCGGCGUUGCGGAGGAGAGGUCAGGGGUCGGAGGUGUUUACCUUACCAAACCGCUUCAGCUUCUCCGGCUGCCCGCCUUGACUGCCCCCUACCUGACUACCCUCUGGCUGCCCCCCGUACUUGACUACCCUUUGACUGCCCCCGGCCCCGACUGCCCCCGGCUCCGACUGCCCCCCCCCCCCCCACACACACACACACACACCUGACUGCCCCCGACUGCCCCGGCUGCAGGGGCGAUGAGGCCAUGGCCAUGUGGCUCAUCCGCGCCGGCUGCCCCUACCUGGACGACGACCUGCGCGGCGGCGGCGGCGGCGGCGGCGGCGGCGGAGGCCUGGGCGAGUACGACUAUGAUGAUGAUGAUGAAUACGACGACAGUGACCUGUGGGUGAUGUGGGUGAUUGGUGGUGUGGGGUGGGGUGUCGUGGGUGGCGGAGGGGCCUGGGACGGGGUAGGGCAGACGAGGCAGUGCGAAACACCUGGUCUGGUGGUCUUUUGGUGCCUCAACGUGUCAAUACCUCGCGUGCAGCAGAGUGUGCAGCCCUGUGUUCCGUGUGUGUGUGACACACCCGCAGGGGCGGCGGCGAGAACUUCACGCUGCCCGCGCAGGCGGCCCGCGGCGGCCACCGGGGGCUCAUGGAGAGGCUGUGGUGAGAGAGGCGCGUGGGGGCUGUGGGGCUGUGCGUGUGUGGGAGCGGCGGUGGCUGCUGGCAGGGGAUGGGUCGGGAGUUGCCCUUCACCGCGCCCCUGCUGCUGAUGGGUCUGUUGGUGAGGCGCCUCCUCAGUGACCUGCGGACUGUAUGUGGGUACAGUCACUGCAGUAGGUGGGGGAGGCUAAUGGUGGAAGGAGAGGGGACGGCUGGGGAGGGAAAGAGGGGAGGGGAAGAAGGGGGAAAGUGGGAGUGGGGAUGAAGCGGUGGUCCAUGCACAACCAGGCGCGUGCGCCCCGUGCUCCUCAGUCAUCACCACCCCGCAGCCUUAACACAUUUCCUCCGCCACCGCCUCACACACCGCCACACACACCGCCCUGCACACCGCCGCACACACCGCCACACACACCGCCUUGCACACCGCCGCACACACCGCCACACACACCGCCUUGCACACCGCCGCACACACCGCUUCACACACCGCCACACACACCGCAGCCAGCUGCAGCCGGCGUCCGCCAUCGACGGCGGGGAGCUGGUGCGCGCGGCGGCGGAGGGCCUGCCGUUGGCGGCGCUGCAGGAGCUGCACACCCAGUGGAUUGAGCGGCGGCGGAGGCGCCUGGAACCCUUCGAGGUGGGCGCGAGAAACCGCGUGACACGCUGCGAGAUGGUGUGGGGAUGGAGUGGCGCGAGGGAAGAAAACACGCAGGACACGCAGGGCAUGCUAUGCGUGUGUUGGCCGGGUCAAGUGGACUCUAAUAUGGUCGUCUUUGAGUACCGUUGUGGCCUUGUGCGCUUGGUUGCAAAGCCGUUCCUGUUGCGCCCUCGUGUACCGGUAUUCGCCCAGACGCGCAUCGACGCAAGCUAAGCGCGGCAGACGGUGCACUCACCACCUCUACCUGUUCCCCUAGGUCCUGUUUCCCUCCCAGGCUCCCACCUGUUUCCCUCUCACAGAUUCCAUGACACCUGCCUCCCACCCCCGCACAGGUCCGGCUGCUGGUGUCCGCCGCCGCGCUCAGCCCCACGCCCGACUGGGCUGACAAGCUGCGCUGGCUGCUGCACACAAAGAGCUACGAACGGUUCGGGGACACUGCUCAGGUGAGCAGGGCAGCGACGGCUUGCAGCCCGCCGCGAGCGGUAUGUCUGACACGUGAUGACGAGUCAGUCAGGCGUACGGCAAUGGGCAGUCCACCAGAGCUUUUCAGCAACCACUUGCUGAGGCGCCCAGAUGCGAAGGCACGCGCCGGCGGAGCACCGACAAAACGCUGCACUCCCUGCACGAACGCAUUCCGGGUGUCCCUGUUGCUGCGUGUGUUGGCCAUGCAAUAUCAUGGGGUAUGUGACACAGGAUCCACGCGACCUGGAAUCACCACGAUCACCCGCUCCCGGCGGCUUCAUCGCACCGCACCUGUUCUGCCAGCGCGUGGAGGACGUGGGCGCGCGGAUCCGGGAGCUGAGCGCCUGGCCUGGAUCCACAUCCUCUGGAUCCGCCGGCAUCGGGACCCACUCUGGAUCCGAAUCCGGGUUUGGAUUCGGUCUGACCGGGGACCAUCUGAUUCUGGCGGCUGAGCGCGGCGACGCUGACCUGAUGCGGGUGAGGGACCGAGCGAGCGAGGGAAGCGAAAGGGCCGGGCGUGUAUAGCGGGAUUGGGCGCGCAGUGAUGCGAAAGGGAACAAUUUUAUAGUUCCCACGCCGCGCUGAUGUGAGAGGCACAGCUCACAUGUGCCGCUGCUGCGCACCUUGAAACGUGCGCCUCCGCACAAUUAUUAUUCAUACCAAUUUGUUCUCCCAGGGUUUACGAAGUGGGGCGGCCGCGCAAAU
rnacentral:lncRNA from 1 species